rnacentral:piRNA from 1 species
UGGCACUAACCGGCCUGUCCUAGCGUUAUU